UGGGUUAGAGAACGUACCUAUAUGCCUAUUGAAGCACUUUACUUGGACUAGGGCCUGGGUCUCCGGGUUGUGCUUGGUGCUCUGCUUCGAUGACGACUUUUUCUUAGGGAAGAUUACCACUUGCCAUUCGCUAGAGGUUGAUCCUUAAUUGCCGGUGGACGUAGUGGGGGUAUCAGAUGAUAAUGUGGCCGGUGGAUUUGUGUGGCAUCCUCUUAGAGUAUGCCCUAACUUCCCUCAGAUAUUAUAAAGUACAUUUUCUCCUUCGUAAACCAUUGUUUGCCGGUGGAAGCCAAUGGUGACAUGGUUUUUAGCUGGGAAUUCCAAUGAGACUUGCACGCAUAUCCUCGAGUACCUUCCUCUCAGCGUGGUCGAGGUGCACGUAUCUAUUUUCAGCAAAGUGCCUGUUUUCUUCCAACUCUUUCAAGAAUGUCUUUGUCAUAAAACUCCAUCGGUAAGUGAGGGAGCUCCACCCAUAUUGCAGUGUGUGUGAGGGUGGCUUGAUGGGGAACGAAAUUUGGUUCUUAUUUACGUACUGUGAGAAAGUUUCCAAUGAUGAACCAGGGUCCCUCCUUUAGGACCUUAUUGAUGCUUUCCUGGAGGGGUGAACUUUGCUACGAAGUAGUCAUUCCCUAAGUCUAUGAGUACCAAAUUCUCCUACAGCUUCCAGAUAUCCAUAAGCUUAUUUCGGAGAUUGAGGCUUCUCCUUAGCAACAACACGGCAGGAACCCUAAGUGAAUUCGCAAUUACAACCACAAAAAAGCGGCCAAGGAACAUGGAGGAGACACGGUUUUCCAAAUGAUAUGUUAUUCCAGAUACUAACAUGGCUUUCAGCUAAAUCUCUCAUGCAAUUCAGGUGUGUUUCUAAAGGGAUUAUCUUUACAACUCGUGCAUCCCCGUCAUUAUUUCGACAGAAUGAGAAAGAACAUCAUUUGCUCAAAUCAUUGCCUACAAAGAUACACAAACUUUCUUGUAUAAUAUCACCACAGGGGAGAUGAAAGUUUUGACAUUCUCUGUUAAAAGAUUUCCACGACAUGAUCCGCCUGAGUUGUUAUUGAGAUUUGAUCCGCAUAUGGAAAAAUACAAAUUGCUUAAUUUUGUAUAUAGCAUGAAAACGAAAGGUUAUGACAUGAACUCUUGGAACCAACUCUUGGAGAAAAAUCGAUGAGAAGUGCCCGAAUAAACCAUGGGAUUGUUGUAAUUAUGUCUUCCUCAAUGAAGUACUUUAUUGGAA